GCUGCGGUGGUCUAGUUGGUUAUGAUCUUGGUGCGUCAGUCCUGGCCCAUCCACUAACCCCUAAACGCGGAUGCCAGACACCACAACACGCUGUGGAUGCCAGACACAGCGAAAAGGGGCGAACGAUGCGACCGGGACAACAUAACCAAGGACGCCAGUUCGAAUCUGGCCCGCAGCC